UGCAAUUCAAUUUAAGUCGUCUUUUGGAAACACGUUUUUAUGAGUUGAGAGGAAGCAUGAUAUGCAGUCAAGUGUCACCCCUUUAACCAUUGGAUGUGAUGACGUUCUGGUGGCUUUCAUUUGAUGCACAUUUUUUAUUACUUUUUAGAAUGAAGUGUAUGUUCAUCUGGCUGCUCAUAUUGGUCAUUACUUCAUCUGCCUUCUAGGGUUUUGAAAUAUCUUUCCUUUCACCGUAUGUGACUUUGAAGAUUCUUCAUCUUCAUCUCCGCCUUCUAGAUUCUAUUCUUCUCGAGUGAUGGACGUCGUAAAUCUAAGGCAAAUAUAGUGUUAUGUUCUUGAUUGAACAAUAAUAUCAAAAGAGGCAAAGAGCUUUACUCCGAACCUCUUGCUUUAGGACGAAGAUCAUCGUGUUCUUUUCUUCUAAAUUUUUUUAGUUUUUAAUUUCUUUCUUUACAAUAAUUUUUGUUUUGUAAAAUAAUCUCAUAUGUUAUUGAAACCGGUCAUUACACCAAUAAUGAAAAAGCAUUUCCCACAAUAAAAUUAGAACCCAAAGAUUGCAGAGAACUCACCUGGAUUGAAUCUGCACUGUAUUUUGGGCGUUUUGACGGUUGAGCAUUAUUAAUAUAUUUUGUUCUUAUCUAGGAAGGGUACAAAGGGGUUUAACGUGUUGUUUACUAGGUCUUGCUUGAAGUGCCAAAAUUAUUGGAGUUUGAGUCGAUUGUGGUUAAAUUUAUUAUUGUACUGACACGAUCCGUCUCGAAUCGCCCUAUGGACCCGAGACGUGACGUGGGUUGAUGGUAUAUGAUAACUAGAUGUCAGAUUCACCCUCAAGGCUGACUAUAAGUUACUACAAAAUGUGCGACAAAAUCGAAUGUAUAUAAAAACACAGCAAUGGGCCCGAAAUAAUUACUUCGUGUCUUACCAAAAUGAAUCAUACCAUUCAAUAUGUCGUGUGGCUCUAACUUUGAAAUCACGAGGCUCUUCAAACUAUCAACAAGACAUUACAGAACUAUGUUCGCAAAAUCAACUCGAUUGAUAAAUUGUCUCGGUAUCUGUAUCGCCACUUGAAAUAUGAUAUAA
rnacentral:lncRNA from 1 species